CCGCCCCGCUCCCAGCUCCACCCUGCCAAGUUCCAACCCCCCGCCCUCGGCUCAGCCUGAGCUGCUCUCGUCUCUGCCCGCUGGCGCUGGGCGCCCUCCCCACGCGGAGCCGCCCUCCCCGCGCUCCCAAAUUCCAGGGACCUUGUUGCAUGAUUAGCAACUUGUGACGAGGCAAGAGACGUGCCAGGAAGGGGGGUUGCAGCAGCGCCUGCCCGGGGUGCGGCUUUACAGCGUGCUGGGGUUGUGUGGCCCCCAGAAGGGCAUGAAUUACCCUACCUCCCCCAUGCCGAGCCUGCUGAGCUUGUGUCCCCGUUGUCCCCUUGCCAUUAUUGCCCGGUCCAGAAUUAGCGGCAAGUUGCCGCACAAGGUAUCGUCUGCCCCCUGUCUGCUGAUUUCACUACGAGCCAGCUCUCCUCCGCUCUGAACUCCUAGCCUCCGCUCACACACUAAUAUCAGAACAUAACUGCCGCCUCAUCUUCGCCCAGGUGCACAUCCUACCUACAUCGAACCGGUUCAUGUCUGUACGCAGUACAUCGGGGUAAAUGGUGCCGCGAUCGGCCUUCAGGUUUUCUCCUAGGGGAUAUUUUAGAUGAAGAACAGUAAAGGAGUAUGCAGUUUGUCCAGGGAUAUCUGAAAAUUGUUGGUGCCAAAGAGACCAGAAGACACCUGCACUCUUCUUUAAAGCCUGCAAAUUUUUUAAAUGCCUUUUUCUGAAUGUACAGCUUGGCAAGCACACCUAGCAACUCUCCAUUGUUGUGUACAACUGCCUAGCUGACUACGACAGCUACACACUCCAGACAGGCUCCAGCUCAGAAUAAACAGGAGAUACUGGAUCUCGUGGGCCCGUGGGGAGAUGAGGCAGUGCAGGCACAGCUACAGAUCAGCCAUAGAAAUGUGGACAUCUACAAGCAGAUUGCAUGGGAGAUGCAGGAGAAGGGGUACAACAGGGACCAGCAGAGGUGCCAUGUGAAAGCAAAGGAAUGGUGUCAGGCAUAUCAGAAGGCCAGGGAGGCCAACAGUCAAUCUGAUGUCAAGUUCCAAACCUGCCACUUCUACAAAGAGCUGCAUGCCAUACUUUACAGAGCCCCACCACCAUACUGCAGACCACCAAGGAGCCCAAGUUAAAGGCCCCUGGCAUGAACAGUGAGGACCAAGAGGAAGGGGAGGAGGGACUUGCAACUGGGGGAUCCAAUAAUGCCUCAAGCCAUCGCAGUCCAGUCAGUCCUGGCAGUUGAGUACAGUCAAACCCAAUGCAAAGGAAGGAAUCUUGGGUAAGUAUGUUACUGUAUGUCCCAUUACAAUGAUAUACUGAUGGCACCCCCAACUAAACAGGACACAGUAAAUCCACUUUUAAUUAAUUUACUUGUAGUAGAAGAGGUACUGGUAUAACAAAGAGAGGUAGCAUUAUUAUCUGCUUUUCAUUCCCCUGCAGACUUAGGCAGGGAAGGGGGGCACGUGAAGUAAACUUGUUUAUGUACACAGGGACGUCCCUUGAAUCCUCCUGGGAGAUCUCAACAUUUUCAUGGAGGAACUUUGCAAUCCUUUACCAAAGGUUUCUAGAGAUGGCAGCCUUAUUUCUUCCUCUGCAGUUGGACACUUUCCCAGGGCUGUUAGCAAUAACUUUGGCAGGCACUGUUACAGCACACAGGCUAGG